rnacentral:rRNA from 1 species
UACAGAGGUCCCAAGCGUUGUUCGGAUUUACUGGGCGUAAAGGGUGCGUAGGCGGUCGGGUAAGUUCGAUGUGAAAUCUCCAGGCUCAACCUGGAAACUGCAUUGAAUACUAUCCGGCUGGAGGGUUGGAGGGGAGACUGGAAUUCUCGGUGUAGCAGUGAAAUGCGUAGAUAUCGAGAGGAACACCAGUGGCGAAGGCGAGUCUCUGGACAACUCCUGACGCUGAGGCACGAAAGCCGGGGGAGCAAACAGG